rfam:Callithrix jacchus chromosome 1, whole genome shotgun sequence
AUCCAUGACAAUCACUAAAAACAUCCCAAAAUAAAAAGGACAUGAAAAG